rnacentral:siRNA from 1 species
CAUGUAAUAUUAGUUUCGUCCCAA